rnacentral:lncRNA from 1 species
UCAAGUGUGUUGAAGUUUUCAAAGGGUUUUAUGAAACUAAAACGAAACACAGGAAACUUACAUGGAUCUAUUCACUAGGAACCUGUCACCUCAACGGCAAGUUUGAUCACAAGCCCAUUGAGUUAGUUGUGUCGACUUACCAGGUAUCAUUUGUAUUCUCAGAAACUGUUUGUAUAUUGGAUCCUUUAGAUGGCCUCUGAUGCUGAUUUUCUAAUUUUUAUUUACUUUCAGGCUGCUGUGCUUCUGCUGUUCAACACAACAGACAAAUUGAGCUACAACGAUAUCCUAACUCAACUGAACCUGAGCCAUGAAGAUCUAGUGAGGUUGCUUCAUUCCUUGUCAUGCGCUAGAUACAAGAUCCUUACCAAGGAGCCAAGCACAAAAACUGUUUCCCAGACUGAUUCAUUUGAAUUCAAUGCCAAAUUCACCGACAGAAUGCGCAGAAUAAAGGUCUGUAAAACAUUAACACACAAAACUUCAUGUGUUACUACUACUGGUUAUUAUCUUAGAUUAUAAACUUUUAUGUGGUUUUGCAUCACAGAUCCCUCUCCCACCUGUCGAUGAAAGGAAGAAAGUAGUGGAAGACGUGGACAAAGACAGACGCUAUGCGAUUGAUGCUGCGAUCGUGAGGAUCAUGAAGAGCAGGAAAGUGUUGGGACAUCAACAGCUUGUAUCUCUCUCCUCGUGGAGUUGACGUGUCGAUUCAGCAACAAGGACUCGCUGAGGCGUAUCCAUAUUUGACGUAUCCAUCAUGGCUUCACGAUGAAUCGUCUCGAAAACAGUUGGUUCGCGCUCUCGCGGUCACUCGACUCGAUCUCUCACGGUCACUCGGCGCAGAUAGUUCUCGCGCAUUCACUUGGCUCGAUCUCUCGCGGUCACUCCCUCGCUCUCCUUACUCGGCGCAGAACGAUCUCUCGCAGUCGCUCAGAUCUCUCUCUCCUCGCGGAGUUGACGUGUCGUUCUGUCGUCACCCGAUCGACGAGUCGUCACUCGACCGACGAGUUCUCACUCGACCUUCGAGUCGUCACUCGACCGACGAGCCGUCACUCGACCGAUGAGCCGUCACUCGACCGAUGGGUCGUUACUCGACCGUUUUGUCGUCACUCGACCGUUCUGUCGUCACUCGAUCGAUGAGUCGUCACUCGACCGACGAGUCCUCACUCGACCGACGAGUCGUCACUCGACCGACGAGUCGUCACUCGACCAACGAGCCCUCACUCGACCGACGAGUCCUCACUCAACCGUUUUGUCGUCACUCGACCGUUCUGUCGUCACUCUUCUACUAUCUUGACCGUUACUUCAUUGCUCGGAGAUCACUUCCACCGCUGAAUGAAGUUGGCCUGACUUGCUUCCGUGACCGGGUUUGGCGCUCGUUCUUGUUAUGUAUGGCUUUACAUGGCGUCAAUGAUAUUUUAACUCUUGAUUGAUUUUGUUAUUUCAGGUUUAUAACGAGUUGCAUUCCAAGGUCAAAGAUGCUGUAAUAGCACUUGUAAGUGUGGCGUGUAUAAUGUACAUUUAGUUCCAACUCUUGCUUUUACCUUAUUCAAGGUCUAACAUGAGCUGUUUCUAUGUCAGGUUGAUAAAGAACGGGAGGGCGAGCAGAUUGACAGGGCUCUUCUGAAAAACGUAUUGGACAUCUAUGUAGAGAUUGGAAUGGGACAGAUGGAAAGAUACGAAGUGGAUUUUGAAAGCUUCAUGCUUUUGGAUUCAGCUUCUUACUAUUCUCGCAAAGCAUCAAGCUGGAUCCAGGAAGAUUCUUGCCCUGAUUACAUGCUGAAGGUAUGAAUACUUAUAUUAUUUUCUAGAUUGCGUUGUCAUUCCAAAUUAGUAAAAUGCAUAUGUUAACUAGUCUGAUGUAUCCUUGUUAAAUCUCAUGUUGCAGUCUGAAGAAUGUCUGAAGAAGGAGAGGGAGAGAGUGGCUCACUACCUUCAUUCAAGCAGCGAGCCAAAGCUGGUUGAGGUUAGUUAUGAUGAUACCUCAUGCACGACACUUUGACUUUAUGCAUAGCAUUCAUUAUGCGUGUACUUACAGAAGCCAUGAUUUUGCAUUUUUAUUCAUAGAGACAUGCUUUUUAGACCCUGCUUCUGCAGAAAAGUAUAUAUUAAUUUUGAUUGAUAUCUAUUUGACUUCUAUAUUAAUCUGUUGGAUGCAGAAAGUACAACAUGAGCUGUUGGUUGUGUAUGCAAAUCAGCUUCUAGAAAAAGAGCACUCAGGGUGCCGUGCAUUGCUGAGAGAUGACAAGGUGGAGCAACUUACUCUUUGUUUCAUUGUUAAUUAUUUUGUCUUUCUAUUUCUGUCUUUGAUGGAGUAUCUGUGUGCUUUCAGGUUGAUGAUCUCUCCCGGAUGUACAGGCUUUAUCAUAAAAUUGCUAAAGGUUUAGAACCUGUUGCAAACAUAUUCAAGCAGGUUGCUUACCUAUCUUUAUUAUUAUGGUUUAGAUUGGCGAAGUCAUUUCUUCCUUGUGUACUUUUACUCUGUUAAAUACUGUUCUGCAUUAACUCCAUCGUGUAAUUUGUAUAUAGCAUGUCACAGCCGAGGGUAACGCACUCGUCCAACAGGCGGAAGACACGGCCACUAAUCAGGUUCAUAUUUUUUGUAUUUUUUACUCAGAAAUCUUUUCCGCGCUUUGCCUGUGAUCGCUAAAAUUUGUUUUUUACUCCACAGGCUGCAAAUAUUGCUAGCGUGCAGGAACAGGUAAAAACAGUGUCAAUGUUUUUACUAGUGAAGAUGUUGUCGAACUUAGUAAUUCACGUUUUCUUUCUAUGCUUUCAGGUUCUCAUCAGAAAAGUGAUUGAGCUACAUGAUAAAUACAUGGUCUAUGUCGUUGAGUGCUUCCAGAGCCACACCCUCUUCCACAAGGUUUAAUGUGCUUCCUGCAUACUAGUCAUGCAUAUAUCUUAUUGCAUGCGUGUAUUUGUUUGUAUUAACUUAAAUUUCUUCUAUUGUAGGCUCUGAAAGAGGCAUUUGAGAUAUUCUGUAACAAAACGGUCGCUGGAAGUUCAAGUGCAGAAUUGCUUGCAACAUUCUGCGACAACAUCCUCAAGAAGGGGGGUAGUGAGAAGCUGAGUGAUGAAGCUAUUGAAGACACGCUUGAGAAGGUUUGUAUUUUGUCAAGUUGCUUGCUAUAUUCAUUUUCAGUUUCUCCUUAAACCGGUGUUUAAUCUUAUUAUGUUGUUACAGGUGGUCAAAUUGCUUGCCUAUAUAAGCGACAAAGAUCUGUUUGCCGAGUUCUACAGGUUCAUCUCUCAUUCUGAGAUUUCUUAUAUACCUUGGAUUCUAAUAUUUUUGUGCUUAUAGAUGGUUUGUUGAUUCUAGCUCUUUGUUAAGGUCCCUUCCAAUAAUAUAGUAUGGAAUUACCAAGAUUGGGAUAACAAAUUGUAUGCGGUUUUGUUUUUGGCUGUUUUUCAGGAAGAAGCUGGCACGCAGGCUCUUAUUUGAUCGCAGUGCUAAUGAUGAUCAUGAGAGAAGUAUUCUUACAAAGCUCAAGCAGCAGUGUGGUGGGCAGUUUACUUCUAAGAUGGAGGGCAUGGUUAGUUUGCGUGUCCCUAUGUUUAUUGUCUCAGAACGGUGGUUUUUCUGAUGAUUUAUACUUUUUUUAAAUUUGAUAUGUUUUGUUACAGGUGACAGAUCUUACACUAGCCAGAGAAAACCAAACCAGUUUCGAGGAAUAUCUAGGCAAUAACCCCGCUGCAAACCCAGGAAUUGAUUUGACCGUGACUGUUCUUACAACUGGUUUCUGGCCAAGCUACAAAUCUUUCGACAUAAAUCUUCCCAGUGAAAUGGUAAGUAUCUGUUGAAUGUAUGUCUAAAAGGAGAAACGUUUGCUCCAGGUGAAGCUAAUCCCAUCGAUUUCUUUGUUUCAGGUCAAGUGUGUUGAAGUUUUCAAAGGGUUUUAUGAAACUAAAACGAAACACAGGAAACUUACAUGGAUCUAUUCACUAGGAACCUGUCACCUCAACGGCAAGUUUGAUCACAAGCCCAUUGAGUUAGUUGUGUCGACUUACCAGGUAUCAUUUGUAUUCUCAGAAACUGUUUGUAUAUUGGAUCCUUUAGAUGGCCUCUGAUGCUGAUUUUCUAAUUUUUAUUUACUUUCAGGCUGCUGUGCUUCUGCUGUUCAACACAACAGACAAAUUGAGCUACAACGAUAUCCUAACUCAACUGAACCUGAGCCAUGAAGAUCUAGUGAGGUUGCUUCAUUCCUUGUCAUGCGCUAGAUACAAGAUCCUUACCAAGGAGCCAAGCACAAAAACUGUUUCCCAGACUGAUUCAUUUGAAUUCAAUGCCAAAUUCACCGACAGAAUGCGCAGAAUAAAGGUCUGUAAAACAUUAACACACAAAACUUCAUGUGUUACUACUACUGGUUAUUAUCUUAGAUUAUAAACUUUUAUGUGGUUUUGCAUCACAGAUCCCUCUCCCACCUGUCGAUGAAAGGAAGAAAGUAGUGGAAGACGUGGACAAAGACAGACGCUAUGCGAUUGAUGCUGCGAUCGUGAGGAUCAUGAAGAGCAGGAAAGUGUUGGGACAUCAACAGCUUGUAUCUCUCGCGGCCACUCACUCUCUCUCACGGUCACGGUCACAUAACAAAACAAUCUCCCAACAUGUAGGAGCGCAAAUUGUUUUGAGCGAUGCUUACGCACGAGCACGACCUUGUCUCUCGGACAAACGUACUAGCACUCGCACCCACUAACGAGCAUGUCCUGAUCAGACACAUGCUCGAGGGAUUUUCGGUCGUAUCGCGGUCCCGACCCAUACGAUCGAGACGACAACUUUCAAUCAUUUUAUAAUCCUCUAAAGCCAGGCUUGGCCAACCUAAAAUUUUUAGGAUUACUUCAAGAUCGAGUGAAAACCGUUGUUGCUCGGAAAUAUAAACGAUUGUCUUCGAACCUCGAAAAUUUAAACUGUUAUCGAGGACUCGAACUGACGGCAUGAUGUGUUAAAAUUUGAUAAGACCGAGUCAUCGACUCUCCGGUUUAAUUCAAGACAUCGACCAAAUUGCCAAAUACAAAUCGUUUAAACCCAAUAUUCAAAGUAGAAUUCAGCGACUCGUCGAAGGCCAACUGGCACUCUCGAGUUGACCCACCGCACGACUCGCAGUUGCUCAGAUCUCUUUCUCGCGGUCACUCGACUCGCAACUCUUGCGGUCACUCGACUCGCACUCUUACGGUCACUCGACUCGCGGUCACUCAACUCGCACUCUUGCGGUCACUCGACUCGCACUCUUGCGGUCACUCGCAGUUCCACUCUUCCGGUCACUCGACUCACACUCUUGCGGUCACUCGCAGUUGCACUCUUGCGGUCACUCAACUUGCUCUUUGCGGUCACUCGCCUCGCUCUCUCGCAGUCACUCGGCUCGGAUCGCUCUCUUGCAGUCACUCGGAUUGCUCGCAAGUCUCGAGCAUGACGUGAUACUGCGAAGACACGUCCUCCCGUGAUGAUUUGAUACUGCGAAGACACGUCCUCCCGUGACGAUUUGAUUGUGCGAAGACAUGUCCACCCGUGACGAUUUGAUUAUGAUGGUUCGCUCAUGGCGAUACGUUCAUGAUGAUGUCUACGGCGACUUGUCUUUGGCAGUUUGUCGAUUGACACUUCAUCCAUGGCAACUUGCUCCGAUGGUUCAGAACACUGUCCUCACAGAUCGUUCGCGCAACCAUCCCGGAGUAAGAAGUCUGAUCGGAAUCAGAAGUAUGUCGAUGAUAGCUCGCCCGAGACGGUCCGUCUAUGACACUUCAUCUAUGGCAAUCUAACCAUGACGGCCCAUUCAUGAUAAUCAUCUGCGUCGUUCUCUCGCAGUCGCACGACUCGAUCUCUCGCGGUUACUCUGUGCAGAUCGAUCUCUCGCAGUCGCUCAGAUCUCUCUCUCCUCGCGGAGUUGACGUGUCGACUCAGCGCUGAGUCCAUUUUCUUAUAAACCCUCUUCGUAAAAUUCAUUGAGAUCAACUCCAUCUCUCUCAACGAACUGGGGGGCUUACUGUUGGACAUGGACUUUGUCCCCAACAAGGCCUAUAAGAUAAUGGGCUCAGCCCAUUUGAAAGGGGUUCACUAGGAAACCCUAGACCACUUCUUUCUAUAAAUAAGGAGCCAACCUCCUUUGAGAUGGGACUCUUGGCUCUUGGACUCUCUUUUGGUCUCUCAUUCAUCUCUCUCUACUUCUAGAGAGAGAAACAUCUCUCCACAUGCUUUUAUCUAGGCACUUGUGAUCCUUUGUUGUAGAACUACGAUUGGCUUGAUCCCCUUUCGGGGUACGUAGGCAACUCUUCGCCGGGUGCAGCUAUAAUCAUUAAACACCUUUUUCUUAUUCUCUUCGAGUCCUCGUCUCGUUCAUUCAAGCGCAGAUCUUUCUCUCGUCACUUGAUCGAUGAGUCGUCAAUCGAUCGACGAGUCGUCACUCGACCGACGAGUCCUUACUCAACCGACGAGUCCUCACUCGACCGAAGAGUCGUCACUUGACCGUUCUCUUCGAGUCGUCUCCAUCAAGUUCAAGCUCAGCAUGAAGACUUCUCCUAACCCCACUGACGAGUCCUCGUCUCGUUUAUUCACUAGUUUGUUGACAGUUCUCGGUUCAAACAGUUGGCGCCCACCGUGUGGCAUGGAGAAGUAUCUUCGAGGAAGAUUGAACUGGAGUCCGUUCUCGCGUCACUUGACCGACGAGUCAUCACUCGAUCGACGAGUCGUCACUCAACCGUUUUGUCGUCACUCGACCGUUCUGUCGUCACUCGGCGCAGAGCGUUCUCUCGCAGUCACUCUACUCGAUCUUCGCAAUCUCUUGGCUCGAUCUCUCGCGGUCACUCGCUCGUUCUCUUUACUCGGCGCAGAUCGAUCUCUCGCAGUCGCUCAGAUCUCUCUCUCCUCGUGGAGUUGACGUGUCGAUUCAGCAACAAGGACUCGCUGAGGCGUAUCCAUAUUUGACGUAUCCAUCAUGGCUUCACGAUGAAUCGUCUCGAAAACAGUAGGCUCGCGCUGUCGCGGUCACUCGACUCGAUCUCUCAGGGUCACUCGGCGCAGAUCUCUCUCGCGCAGUCACUUGGCUCGAUCUCUCGCGGUCACUCGCUCGCUCUCCUUACUCGGCGCAGAACUAUCUCUCGCAGUCACUCAGAUCUCUCUCUCCUCGCGGAGUUGACGUGUCGUUCUGUCGUCACCCGAUCGACGAGUCGUCACUCGACCGACGAGUCCUCACUCGACCGACGAGCCAUCACUCGACGUUCUGUCGUCACUCGGUGCAGAGCGUUCUCUCGCAGUCGCUCGACUCGAUCUGCGCAGUUGCUUGGCUCGAUCUCUCGCGGUCACUCGUUCGUUCUCUUUACUCGGCGCAGAUCGAUCUCUCGCAGUCGCUCAGAUCUCUCUCUCCUCGUGGAGUUGACGUGUCGAUUCAGCAACAAGGACUCGCUGAGGCUUAUCCAUAUUUGACGUAUCCAUCAUGGCUUCAUGAUGAAUCGUCUCGAAAACUGUUGGCUCGCGCUCUCGCGGGCACUCGACUCGAUCUCUCACGGUCACUCGAUAUGUUGUUACAGGUGGUCAAAUUGCUUGCCUAUAUAAGCGACAAAGAUCUGUUUGCCGAGUUCUACAGGUUCAUCUCUCAUUCUGAGAUUUCUUAUAUACCUUGGAUUCUAAUAUUUUUGUGCUUAUAGAUGGUUUGUUGAUUCUAGCUCUUUGUUAAGGUCCCUUCCAAUAAUAUAGUAUGGAAUUACCAAGAUUGGGAUAACAAAUUGUAUGCGGUUUUGUUUUUGGCUGUUUUUCAGGAAGAAGCUGGCACGCAGGCUCUUAUUUGAUCGCAGUGCUAAUGAUGAUCAUGAGAGAAGUAUUCUUACAAAGCUCAAGCAGCAGUGUGGUGGGCAGUUUACUUCUAAGAUGGAGGGCAUGGUUAGUUUGCGUGUCCCUAUGUUUAUUGUCUCAGAACGGUGGUUUUUCUGAUGAUUUAUACUUUUUUUAAAUUUGAUAUGUUUUGUUACAGGUGACAGAUCUUACACUAGCCAGAGAAAACCAAACCAGUUUCGAGGAAUAUCUAGGCAAUAACCCCGCUGCAAACCCAGGAAUUGAUUUGACCGUGACUGUUCUUACAACUGGUUUCUGGCCAAGCUACAAAUCUUUCGACAUAAAUCUUCCCAGUGAAAUGGUAAGUAUCUGUUGAAUGUAUGUCUAAAAGGAGAAACGUUUGCUCCAGGUGAAGCUAAUCCCAUCGAUUUCUUUGUUUCAGGUCAAGUGUGUUGAAGUUUUCAAAGGGUUUUAUGAAACUAAAACGAAACACAGGAAACUUACAUGGAUCUAUUCACUAGGAACCUGUCACCUCAACGGCAAGUUUGAUCACAAGCCCAUUGAGUUAGUUGUGUCGACUUACCAGGUAUCAUUUGUAUUCUCAGAAACUGUUUGUAUAUUGGAUCCUUUAGAUGGCCUCUGAUGCUGAUUUUCUAAUUUUUAUUUACUUUCAGGCUGCUGUGCUUCUGCUGUUCAACACAACAGACAAAUUGAGCUACAACGAUAUCCUAACUCAACUGAACCUGAGCCAUGAAGAUCUAGUGAGGUUGCUUCAUUCCUUGUCAUGCGCUAGAUACAAGAUCCUUACCAAGGAGCCAAGCACAAAAACUGUUUCCCAGACUGAUUCAUUUGAAUUCAAUGCCAAAUUCACCGACAGAAUGCGCAGAAUAAAGGUCUGUAACACAUUAACACUCAAAACUUUGUGUUGCUGG